GGAGAUAUGGCUUAGUAGUUAAAAACCUAGUUAGUUGCUCUUCCAGAAGACCUGGGUUCAAUUCCCAAUAUCUUCA
rnacentral:tRNA from 1 species